UAAUUAAAAUUUCUAAACCCCCCUCCAAACAAACCCUAAAGCUAUCACCCGUUGCUGUGUGAGAGAGAAGAUCUCGUCAAAUCCAAAAUGAUUAUCAAGCUUCAACCCUAAAGCUCACAGCUAUCGCCGCCUCCAUCGCCACCGCUAUCACCACCACUAUAUCCAUUCGUGUCCUUGCCGCCACCGCAUGCUUCGAUAAUCUCUUUUUGCGUUGUCUCCUCCGUCGAUGCAUCAUCUCCUUUGGUCGCGACACGAGAAAGUGUUCGAUGAUAUCCUCAUAAAAGUUCAAGAUAUUUAGUUUGAUUGUGUUAGAUGGAAGAGCCUGUCGUAGUUAACAAAGGCAAGGAGCCGCUGGAUUUGCCACCAGGUUUCGGAUUCCACCCAACAGAUGAAGAAAUCAUCACUUAUUACCUCACCGAGAAGGUCAUGAACAGCAGCUUCAGUGCAACUGCCAUAGGUGAAGCCGAUUUGAACAAAUCCGAACCCUGGGAUUUACCAAAGAAAGCAAAGAUGGGAGAGAAGGAGUGGUACUUCUUUUGUCAGAAAGGUUGCAGAAUUGUGAGAAAAAAUCUGCGAUAUUGCUCGGGACUCGAAUGGAGUAGUUCCUGCGUCAGACUUUCCUUACAGUUGUCAGAAAAUCUGGGAAAUGAUUAAGGCAGACAAGGACCUUGAUCUUCCUUCUCAUAAGGUAAACCUCAGAUGGUUCAUUAUGGUUCCUAACAUAUGAAAGCAGUAUUGAACUAUUGUUAAUUCUCGUGUCUUGUCUCGUGUGCACAAAAUUAAUUCUUGCAAAAUAUAUUAGCAAAUUUUCUUUCAAGGACUAAUCUCUGUUGAAGCUUUAUCGCUUGAUCAACUUGUAGAUUAUGCUUGCUACUGUUCGAUAUGAAGAAAUUUUUCGGGAAAAGUAUAAAGCUGCAAAGGAGGUAUUAAGAGCACUUGAAAAAAAGGGGACUCUUAUUUAACUGAAUUAAUUGAUUGAUUUUAUUCAAUCUACGAACAUAAGACAAGGGGUGAUUAUCGAAAAAUUUAGUUAAUUAAAACCUCUUUUAUGUAGUACAACCAUAUACCGUUUAUAUAAUUCAUUGAAAACUUUGUAUAUAUUUGGAUUAUUUCAUUUUGGUUAAGAUAAGUUUACGGAGAUGUUCUUAUGCCUAAUGUCAAUUUUGAACAAAAAGGAAGAAUUGAAAGAAAUAAAACCAUUUAUAACAAAGAGGCUAUAAUUGUCCCAUUAUGUGAUAUUGAAAUAUCUAUUAUGUGCAAUCCAAAUUAUAAAUUAAUCAUUUAAACUCUACAUUAUUGUGCAAUAAGUCUAAUCUAAUAGAUGUACAUCUAUUCAUUCAUGUUUGAUUACAUUAUUACAUGCUAACCAUAUGUAUGAUAAUUUAAUUUUGUUGAUGCAAUUUCAUUAUGGAAUGAUAAUAUAAAGCUGAUUGAUUUCUUUCUCUUAAUAAAGUGACACAGUUUUGAUUGCCUACACUAUUCAACUUCAUUGUGAAUGUCUUAGAAGGUGAAUCAUAAUUUUCUUUAGAAUGUUAGUGGAAUCAUAAAGCCCAGAAGGUGAAUGAUUAUUUUAUUAUUAUUUUCUUUUGUUCUCUUUCUAUAUUUUUUUAUUUAUUUUGUUAUUGCUAAAAAUACACCCACGAGAAUCAUAUAAAACUUUAUUUAUUUAUUUAUUAUUAUUUUGUUGCUGGUAUAAUGAUGAGGUUUGUUUUGUAGAAUGACUCUGGAUGUGUUUGGGAAACUCGUUAGAAGGGAAGAAGCUCAGGGAAGACCACAUUGCUAUUAGCCUUGAUUGACAUUUUGUUGGAAAACUUGGCAAAGAUUUAAAAAAAUCAGGGAGAGUAACAUACAAUGGGCAUGGAGUAGAAGAGUUUGUGGCACAGAGAAGUUCAGCGUAUAUUGGCUCAUGGGCAAGUGAUAGAGAAGAAAUUAAUCUCCAUGGUUCGUGAAAUUUAAAAGCUUUGUGCUGAGAUUGCAAGUGCAGAAAAAAGGCAAUGUGCACCUGCCAAUCUAGGUGGUGAUAAUAAACGUAAAGUUCUCAACUCUUGGAAUGGCACCUCAUCUUGAAAAGGUAUUGUUGUUUGGAGUAAUGGCUAUAGAGAUUAAAAGAAAGGCUCCUCAUUGUAACAGAAAUUUCUGAAUAAUCUUGUUUUAGCUUUAAAAGCUACUGCCACAGCUAGUGUAAGCAUUAGAACUUGUUAACUGCAUUGUUAGUUUGUCAUUACUUCUGGAUGAUAAUGAUAUGGCUAGAAGUUAAGAUCUAUUUGCAUUAUUUGUAAAUACAUUUAUCUAGUUAUGUUUAUUGUUUAGGAGUUUGGACAUAAGUCUGUAUUUUAUCAUGUUAUUUUUAAUAUUUUGUAGUUAUAAUUAAUGUGAUUGAAAAA